AGAUUGAACGCUGGCGGCAUGCCUAACACAUGCAAGUCGAACGGGAGUAGCAAUACUCUAGUGGCGGACGGGUGAGGAAUACGUAGGAAUUUGCCCUUAAGUGGGGGAUAACCCGGGGAAACCCGGAUUAAUACCGCAUGACCUCGAAAGAGCAAAGUGGGGGAUCGCAAGGACCUCACGCUUUUGGAGAAGCCUACGUCGGAUUAGCUAGUUGGUGAGGUAAUGGCUCACCAAGGCGACGAUCCGUAACUGGUCUGAGAGGAUGAUCAGUCACACCGGAACUGAGACACCGGUCCGGACUCCUACGGGAGGCAGCAGUGGGGAAUAUUGGACAAUGGGCGCAAGCCUGAUCCAGCAAUCGCCGCGUGUGUGAAGAAGGCCUUGGUUGUAAGCUACUUUAAGUAGGAAGAAAAACUACGACGUACUAACACAGUGAGUCUGACGUACGACAGAAUAAGACACCGGCUAACGUCUGUCGACCAGCGACGCCGUACGUAACGUCGUGACGGCGGCGUGGACCG
rnacentral:rRNA from 1 species